rnacentral:rRNA from 1 species
GAAAGUCACCUUCGGGUGGCGAGUAGAGUGGCAGACGGGUGAGUAACGCGUGGGUGACCAACCUUUGAGUGGGGGACAACCUUCCGAAAGGAGGGCUAAUACCGCAUAACAUCCUGUUCUUAGAUGGACGGUGAUCAAAGCUGGCCAAGCUUCGGUUUGGCUGGCGCUUGUUGACGGACCCGCGUCCGAUUAGCUUGUUGGUGGGGUAAUGGCUCACCAAGGCUGCGAUCGGUAGCCGGCCUGAGAGGGCGGACGGCCACACUGGGACUGAGACACGGCCCAGACUCCUACGGGAGGCAGCAGUAGGGAAUUGUUCGCAAUGGGCGAAAGCCUGACGACGCAACGCCGCGUGGAGGACGAAGGCCUUCGGGUUGUAAACUCCUGUCGGGGGGGAAGAACGGCCUGCGGGUUAAUACCCCGUGGGCGUGACGGUACCCCCUAGAGGAAGCCCCCGGCUAACUCCCGUGCCAGCAGCCGCGGGUAAACACGGAGGGGGGCGAGCGUUUGUUCGGAUUUUACUGGGCGUAAAGGGCUUGUAGGCGGCUGUCUAUGUCGGUUGUGAAAUCCCCAGGCUCAACCUGGGAACUGCAGCCGAAACUGGAUGGCUAGAAGCCGGGAGAGGGAUGCGGAAUUCCAGGUGUAGCGGUGAAAUGCGUAGAUAUCUGGAGGAACACCCGUGGCGAAGGCGGCAUCCUGGACCGGUCUUGACGCUGAGGAGCGAAAGCUAGGGUAGCAAACGGGAUUAGAUACCCCGGUAGUCCUAGCCCUAAACGAUGAAUGCUUGGUGUGGCGGGUAUCGAUCCCUGCCGUGCCGGAGUUAACGCGUUAAGCA